CGCGGGGUGGAGCAGUCUGGUAGCUCGUCGGGCUCAUAACCCGAAGGUCGGAGGUUCAAAUCCUUCCCCCGCAA
rfam:Desulfuromonas sp. DDH964, complete genome.